rnacentral:rRNA from 1 species
AGAGUUUGAUCAUGGCUCAGAGUGAACGCUGGCGGCAGGCCUAAUACAUGCAAGUCGAACGGCAGCACAGCAGAGCUUGCUCUGUGGGUGACGAGUGGCGGACGGGUGAGGAAUACGUGGGAAUCUGCCCAGUCGUGGGGGAUAACGUAGGGAAACUUACGCUAAUACCGCAUGCGCCCUUCGGGGGAAAGCCGGGGACCUUCGGGCCUGGCGCGAUUGGAUGAGCCCACGUCGGAUUAGCUAGUUGGCGGGUAAAGGCCCACCAAGGCGACGAUCCGUAGCUGGUCUGAGAGGAUGAUCAGCCACACUGGAACUGAGACACGGUCCAGACUCCUACGGGAGGCAGCAGUAGGGAAUAUUGGACAAUGGGCGCAAGCCUGAUCCAGCCAUGCCGCGUGAGUGAAGAAGGCCCUCGGGUUGUAAAGCUCUUUUGUCCGGAAAGAAAAGCGCCGGGUUAAUACCCUGGUGUCCUGACGGUACCGGAAGAAUAAGCACCGGCUAACUUCGUG